GAUGAACGCUGGCGGUAUGCUUAACACAUGCAAGUCGAACGGACUCUUCGGAGUUAGUGGCGGACGGGUGAGUAACGCGUGAGAAUCUGGCUUUGGGUUCGGGACAACCACUGGAAACGGUGGCUAAUACCGGAUGUGCCGAGAGGUAAAAGAGAAAUUGCCUGAAGAUGAGCUCGCGUCUGAUUAGCGAGUUGGUGAGGUAAAGGCUCACCAAGGCAGCGAUCAGUAGCUGGUCUGAGAGGAUGACCAGCCACACUGGGACUGAGACACGGCCCAGACUCCUACGGGAGGCGGCAGUGGGGAAUUUUCCGCAGUGGGCGAACGCCAGACGGAGCAAUACCGCGUGGGGGAAGAAGGCUCUUGUGUUGUAAACCUCUUUUCUUAGGGAAGAACAGAAUGACGGUACCGAAGGAAUCAGCAUCGGCUAACUCCGUG
rnacentral:rRNA from 1 species